rnacentral:misc_RNA from 1 species
UACGGAAGGUGCGAGCGUUGUUCGGAUUGAUUGGGCGUAAAGCGCACGUAGGCGGGUUUGUAAGUCGGAUGUGAAAGCCCUGGGCUUAACCUAGGAAUUGCAUCCGAAACUGCAGGUCUUGAAUGCUCGAGGGGUUGGUGGAAUUCUUGGUGUAGGAGUGAAAUCCGUAGAUAUCAAGAGGAACACCGGAGGCGAAAGCGGCCAACUGGCGAUGCAUUGACGCUAAGGUGCGAAAGCGUGGGGAGCAAACAGG